rnacentral:rRNA from 1 species
UAACACGUAAACAACCUGCCUUCAGGAUGGGGACAACAGACGGAAACGACUGCUAAUACCGAAUAAGUUCCAAGGGCCGCAUGGCCCAUGGAAGAAAAGGUGGCCUCUACUUGUAAGCUAUCGCCUGAAGAGGGGUUUGCGUCUGAUUAGCUGGUUGGAGGGGUAACGGCCCACCAAGGCGACGAUCAGUAGCCGGUCUGAGAGGAUGAACGGCCACACUGGAACUGAGACACGGUCCAG